AGAGUUUGAUUCUGGCUCAGGACGAACGCUGGCGGCGUGCUUAACACAUGCAAGUCGAACGAAGUUGCUCUUUGGGAAGCCCUCGGGUGGAACUGUGAGUAUACUUAGUGGCGGACGGGUGAGUAACGCGUGAGCAAUCUGCCCUGCAAUGGGGGACAACAGUUGGAAACGACUGCUAAUACCGCAUAAGACCACGAAACCGCAUGGUUUAGAGGUAAAAGGAUUCAUUCGAUGCAGGAUGAGCUCGCGUCCCAUUAGAUAGUUGGUGAGGUAACGGCCCACCAAGUCAACGAUGGGUAGCCGACCUGAGAGGGUGAUCGGCCACAUUGGAACUGAGAAACGGUCCAA
rnacentral:rRNA from 1 species